rnacentral:rRNA from 1 species
GAUGAACGCUAGCGGCAGGCUUAAUACAUGCAAGCCGAGGGACAGCACAGGUAGCAAUACUGGGUGGUAACCGGCAAACGGGUGCGGAACACGUACACAACCUUCCUUUAAGUGGGGGAUAGCCCAGAGAAAUUUGGAUUAAUACCCCGUAAUAUAGUUGAAUGGCAUCAUUUGAUUAUUAUAGCUACGGCGCUUAAUGAUGGGUGUGCGGCUGAUUAGAUAGUUGGCGGGGUAACGGCCCACCAAGUCUACGAUCAGUAGCUGAUGUGAGGGCAUGAUCAGCCAAACGGGCACUGAGACGCGGGCCCGACUCCUACGGGAGGCAGCAGUAAGGAAUAUUGGUCAAUGGACGCAAGUCUGAACCAGCCAUGCCGCGUGAAGGAUUAAGGUCCUCUGGAUUGAAAACUUCUUUUAUUUGGGACGAAAAAGGGCCUUUCUAGGUCAACUGACGGUACCAGAUGAAUAAGCACCGGCUAACUCCGUGCCAGCAGCCGCAGUAAAAC